UCUCAUUUACAAAAUCGUUUCACGAGUUGAUUACGACUCUAUUUUUAUCUAUGUUGACAGUGACAUGACACUGACAGCAGUCCCGGCGACCGGCGUAUGCGUUUAGAAAACUUUGUUUACACGUUUGACUUUGGCUCCUUAGUUUGGAUUUAUUUGCCGGCUUAUCGAUUGGAAAUCGACAUCAUGGAUCUUUGUGUGAACUGUGGCAUAGAAAAGAAAAAGACAGACGAGUCUUGAAUGACGAAAUGAUUCUCUUAGUGAUUCGUCGAUGGCGUACACCGCAGCCUGUAAACAACAGUGACUAUAUUUGCUAAGCUUGCUGGAACAAACAUCAGCUAUUGAUCAACCAAGACAAUUUGGCCACCGUAAUGUUUGCCUCCGCUGUGGUCGCUCUGUUGCAUCACGAGUCACUCAUCUGCUUCAUACAGGCUCAUCUUGUGAACUGAGAAUUUAUAAUGCCAUAGAAGAAUGUAUUAUGCCUCGAACUAUAGAACAAGGAAGCCACAUCUGUCAUAAUUGUUGGGUGGCUGCAGACAGGGCUGCUGUCCAUAUGGUCUCAGGCCCAUCAACUUCUUCCCGAGUUCUAACUGAGCCUCCUGCUAGCCAGCCUGGAGAAGAUAGAAACAACCAACCAGAACCUACUAUUGUAUUACCAGGAUAUAUGAGAGCUGUUCCUCUUUUUAAAGUAUUAUGUUCCUGAGAAUAAUCGUCUAUGUGAUAUUCAUUAAGUUAUUGAAGGCUGGGAUGUAAUGAUAAUUUAAAUGUUUUUCCCCAGCGAACUCACAGUGAACUAAUUCUCGUACCAUUAGGUAUUUAUCAAAUUGUUUCAAAAAUGUUGUAAAGGCAAAAGGGCUGUAGGCUUCUGCGCACAUGUUAUGUCAAUAAUAUGGUACCUUAGUUGGGCUAGGUACCAAGAAAAUAUAGUACCCCCUGCACAAUUCUUAGAUGAUAUAUUAAAUAUAAUUGAAAAUGAAUAAAAAUCAACUAAA
rnacentral:lncRNA from 1 species